rnacentral:rRNA from 1 species
AGUCGAACGAGAUAUGAUUUCGGUUGUAUCUUAGUGGCGAACGGGUGAGUAACGCGUGAGCACCUGACUCUUAGAGGGGGAUAACACUCGGAAACGGGUGCUAAUACCGCAUAAGAUGGCAUCAUCAAAGGAUGGAAAGUUGCCGCUGAGAGAGGGGCUCGCGUCCCAUUAGAUAGAUGGCGGGGUAACGGCCCACCAUGUCAGCGAUGGGUAGCCGAGCUGAGAGGCUGAUCGGCCACACUGGAACUGAGACACGGUCCAGACUCCUACGGGAGGCAGCAGUGGGGAAUAUUGGGCAAUGGGCGCAAGCCUGACCCAGCAACGCCGCGUGAGGGAAGAAGGCUUUCGGGUUGUAAACCUCUGUCCUUGGUGACGAAUGCUAUAUAAUGGAUAUAUUAUAGAGUGACGGUAGCCAAGGAAGAAGCAACGGCUAACUACGUGCCAGCAGCCGCGGUAAUACGUAGGGGGCGAGCGUUGUCCGGAAUUACUGGGCGUAAAGGGUGCGUAGGUGGCCUUUUAAGUUGGAUGUGAAAUACCCGGGCUUAACCUGGGGGGUGCAUCUAAUACUGGGAGGCUAGAGUGCAGGAGAGGAAAGCGGAAUUCCUAGUGUAGCGGUGAAAUGCGUAGAUAUUAGGAGGAACACCAGUGGCGAAGGCGGCUUUCUGGACUGUAACUGACACUGAGGCACGAAAGUGUGGGGAUCAAACAGGAUUAGAUACCCUGGUAGUCCACACAGUAAACGAUAAUCACUAGAUGUCGGGUUCAGAUGGAUUCGGUGUCGGAGCUAACGCGAUAAGUGAUUCGCCUGGGGAGUACGAUCGCAAGGUUGAAACUCAAAGGAAUUGACGGGGGCCCGCACAAGCGGUGGAGCAUGUGGUUUAAUUCGAGGCAACGCGAAGAACCUUACCCGGUUUUGACAUCCACGGGAGGCUUCAGAGAUGGAGCUGUGGGUAAGAGGCCGUGAGACAGGUGCUGCAUGGCUGUCGUCAGCUCGUGUCGUGAGAUGUUGGGUUAAGUCCCGCAACGAGCGCAACCCUUGCCUUCAGUUACCAUCAUUAAUUGGGGACUCUGGAGGGACCGCUGCGGACAACGCAGAGGAAGAUGGGGACGACGUCAAGUCAUCAUGGUCCUUAUGGCCGGGGCUGCACACGUGCCACAAUGGCAGUUCAGAGGGAUGCGAUUCAGUAAUGAGGAGCGAAACUAGAAAAGCUGCCGCAGUUCGGAUUGAGGUCUGCAACUCGGCCUCAUGAAGUCGGAAUCGCUAGUAAUCGCGCAACAUAUGGCGCGGUGAAUACGUUCCCGGGCCUUGUACACACCGCCCGUCAAGUCAGCCGAGUGUAGUGCACCCGAAGGAGGUGAGCUAACCGCAAGGAGGCAGCUUUCGAAGGUGUGCUUCGCGAGGAGGACUAAGUCGUAACAAGGUAGCC